GAUGAAGAACGCAGCGAAAUGCGAUAAGUAAUGUGAAUUGCAGAAUUCAGUGAAUCAUCGAAUCUUUGAACGCACAUUGCGCCCGCCAGUAUUCUGGCGGGCAUGCCUGUUCGAGCGUCAUUUCAACCCUCAAGACCCCUUCGGGGGACUUGGUGUUGGGGACCGGCACAGGGGCCUGCCUGCUUGUCUUGCAGCGCCCUCGCCGCCCCCGAAAUGAAUUGGCGGCCUCGUCGCGGCCUCCCUGCGUAGUAGCACAAACCUCGCAACGGGAACGUGACGGCGGCCACUGCCGUAAAACAACCCAAUUUUAUUAGAGUUGACCUCGAAUCAGGUAGGAAUACCCGCUGAACUUAAGCAUAUCAAUAAGCGGAGGA
rnacentral:misc_RNA from 1 species